UACAGAGGGCGCGAGCGUUGUCCGGAAUCACUGGGCGUAAAGGGCGCGUAGGUGGCCACUCUAAGGCCGCGGUGAAAGUUCGGGGCUCAACCCUGAAUCGGCCGCGGCGACUGUAGGGCUUGGGCACUGUAGAGGCAGAUGGAAUUCCGGGUGUAGCGGUGGAAUGCGCAGAUAUCAGGAGGAACACCGAUUGCGAAGGCAGCUCGCUGGAACGUUACUGACGCUGAGACGCGAAAGCGUGGGGAGCAAACAGG
rnacentral:rRNA from 1 species